rnacentral:lncRNA from 1 species
CGCUGUGCUGGGGAAUCCAAUGUACUCCUGGGUCACGGGCUGUCCAGAAAGCAUGGCUUGGGAGGCCUCAGGAAAUUUACAAUCACGGUGAAAGGCAAAGAGGAAGGAGGCACGUCUUACAUGGCUGGAGCAGGAGGAAGAGGGUGAAGGCACAAGUUCUACCCAUUUUUAAACAACCAGAUCUAAUGGGAACUUAUUAUCACAAGGACAGCAAGAGAGAAUUUACCACCAUGAUGUAAUUACCUGCCAACAGAUCCCUCCUUCAACAUACGGGAUUACAAUACGACAUGAGAUUUGGGCAGGGACACCAAUCCAAACCAUAUCACAAGCAUAAGAG